rnacentral:rRNA from 1 species
UACAGAGGUCUCGAGCGUUGUUCGGAUUCAUUGGGCGUAAAGGGUGCGUAGGUGGCGCCGUAAGUCGGGUGUGAAAUUUUCGGAGCUUAACUCCGAAACUGCAUUCGAUACUGCGGGUGCUUGAGGACUGGAGAGGAGACUGGAAUUCAUGGUGUAGCAGUGAAAUGCGUAGAGAUCAUGAGGGAAGACCAGUGGCGAAGGCGGGUCUCUGGACAGUUCCUGACACUGAGGCACGAAGGCCAGGGGAGCAAACGGG